rnacentral:rRNA from 1 species
AGUCAAUAGAUACCCUGGUAGUCCAUGCCGUAAACGAUGAUUGCUAGGUGUGGGGGGUCUGACCCCUUCCGUGCCGGAGUUAAACACAAUAAGCAAUCCACCUGGGGAGUACGGCCGCAAGGUUGAAACUCAAAGGAAUUGACGGGGGCCCGCACAAGCAGUGAAGUAUGUGGUUUAAAUUCGAAGCAACGCGAAGAACCUUACCAGGUCUUGACAUCCACCGAAUCCUGUAGAGAUACGGGAGUGCCCUUCGGGGAACGGUGAGACAGGUGGUGCAUGGUUGUCGUCAGCUCGUGUCGUGAGAUGUUGGGUUAAGUCCCGCAACGAGCGCAACCCUUGUGAAUAGUUGCUACGAAAGAGCACUCUAUUCAGACCGCCGUUGACAAAACGGAGGAAGGUGGGGAUGACGUCAAAUCAUCAUGCCCCUUAUGACCUGGGCUACACACGUACUACAAUGGCCGUUAACAGAGGGAUGCAAUGCCGCGAGGUGGAGCGAACCCCUAAAAACGGUCUCAGUUCAGAUUGCAGGCUGAAACUCGCCUGC